AGAGUUUGAUCAUGGCUCAGAUUGAACGCUGGCGGCAGGCCUAACACAUGCAAGUCGAACGGUAGCACAGAGAGCUUGCUCUCGGGUGACGAGUGGCGGACGGGUGAGUAAUGUCUGGGAAACUGCCUGAUGGAGGGGGAUAACUACUGGAAACGGUGGCUAAUACCGCAUAACGUCGCAAGACCAAAGAGGGGGACCUUCGGGCCUCUUGCCAUCAGAUGUGCCCAGAUGGGAUUAGCUAGUAGGUGGGGUAACGGCUCACCUAGGCGACGAUCCCUAGCUGGUCUGAGAGGAUGAUCAGCCACACUGGGACUGAGACACGGCCCAGACUCCUACGGGAGGCAGCAGUGGGGAAUAUUGGACAAUGGGCGAAAGCCUGAUCCAGCAAUGCCGCGUGUGUGAAGAAGGCCUUCGGGUUGUAAAGUACUUUCAGCGGGGAGGAAGGUGAUAAGGUUAAUAACCUUGUCGAUUGACGUUACCCGCAGAAGAAGCACCGGCUAACUCCGUGCCAGCCGCCGCGGUAAUAC
rnacentral:rRNA from 1 species